AGAUUAAAUGCUACAGGAGCAAAUGAGUUCAAUGCCUAUACCACUCUUGGAGGUAUACAUUCCACAGGAGUAAAUGAGUUCAAUGCCUAUACCACUCUUGGAGGUAUACAUUCCACAGGAGUAAAUGAGUUCAAUGCCUAUACCACUCUUGGAGGUAUACAUUCCACAGGAGUAAAUGAGUUCAAUGCCUAUACCACUCUUGGAGGUAUAGAUUCCACAGGAGUAAAUGAGUUCAAUGCCUAUACCACUCUUGGAGGUAUAGAUUCCACAGGAGUAAAUGAGUUCAAUGCCUAUACCACUCUUGGAGGCAUACAUUCCACAGGAGUAAAUGAGUUCAAUGCCUAUACCACUCUUGGAGGUAUACAUUCCACAGGAGUAAAUGAGUUCAAUGCCUAUACCACUCUUGGAGGUAUACAUUCCACAGGAGUAAAUGAGUUCAAUGCCUAUACCACUCUUGGAGGUAUAGAUUCCACAGGAGUAAAUGAGUUCAAUGCCUAUACCACUCUUGGAGGUAUAGAUUCCACAGGAGUAAAUGAGUUCAAUGCCUAUACCACUCUUGGAGGUAUACAUUCCACAGGAGUAAAUGAGUUCAAUGCCUAUACCACUCUUGGAGGUAUAGAUUCCACAGGAGUAAAUGAGUUCAAUGCCUAUACCACUCUUGGAGGUAUACAUUCCACAGGAGUAAAUGAGUUCAAUGCCUAUACCACUCUUGGAGGUAUAGAUUCCACAGGAGUAAAUGAGUUCAAUGCCUAUACCGCUCUUGGAGGUAUACAUUCCACAGGAGUAAAUGAGUUCAAUGCCUAUACCACUCUUGGAGGUAUACAUUCCACAGGAGUAAAUGAGUUCAAUGCCUAUACCACUCUUGGAGGUAUAGAUUCCACAGGAGUAAAUGAGUUCAAUGCCUAUACCACUCUUGGAGGUAUACAUUCCACAGGAGUAAAUGAGUUCAAUGCCUAUACCACUCUUGGAGGUAUACAUUCCACAGGAGUAAAUGAGUUCAAUGCCUAUACCACUCUUGGAGGUAUAGAUUCCACAGGAGUAAAUGAGUUCAAUGCCUAUACCACUCUUGGAGGUAUAGAUUCCACAGGAGUAAAUGAGUUCAAUGCCUAUACCACUCUUGGAGGUAUAGAUUCCACAGGAGUAAAUGAGUUCAAUGCCUAUACCACUCUUGGAGGUAUACAUUCCACAGGAGUAAAUGAGUUCAAUGCCUAUACCACUCUUGGAGGUAUAGAUUCCACAGGAGUAAAUGAGUUCAAUGCCUAUACCACUCUUGGAGGUAUAGAUUCCACAGGAGUAAAUGAGUUCAAUGCCUAUACCACUCUUGGAGGCUCAGAAUCCUGA
rnacentral:lncRNA from 1 species